AAACCUAACAAUUCUUGCAAUAUGCUUUGGACUCUGUUCAGUACGUAAUAUUUUGUGUCAUUAAUAUAUUUACAUCUAUUUCAGGUUGUAUGAUGUUGUAUUUACAAGAUAUUUCAGGUAUGACCACUGGUAUACAUAAUUGUUCGAUCUACCUGUACAUCGGACAUUAAUAUCUAACGUAUAUAUUCUGAACUUUCAUUGAUAAUGAUAAUUGGAAGACAAGAAACAAGAUGUAUAUUGAGCUGUAUUAAUAUAUUCAUUUUAACGCAUAAAAAUAUAUAUUUAUAAUAAUAUUUGCGGCAUGGUCUUGUGAAUACUGAAACAUGCUCUGAUUCUACUUUUUUAAAACCAUGGCUACAGACAUUUGUGAUCAAGGACACGGUGGAACCUCGAAUGUGUAACCUAGCAACUGACUGCCAUGAUAACGAAUGCUGUGUUUCUAACGUCCGACCGAUCGGGAAAAGGCAGACGAGUUUCCAUGGUCACUGCAUUCCAUUAGGAAAAGUCGGGGACGGAUGUCUUGUGAGGAAUGGUAACGCGACCUCCAGACCCACUGAGCUGGUGUUUGCCUGUCCCUGUACACCGGGUCUAUAUUGUCAUGGAGACCACCACUAUGACAUACCCUUGGGAGAAAUUGGUAUCGUAUUCUCUUUUGAAUUUAAUUGAAUACAAUUUUUUCUGAUUUUUAACUUUACAACAGUUACUAUACCUUAUCUCAAUUUCGCAUGUUUCUUUUUUAUUUAGGUCAUUGUGCAAAUCCAUAGAUUAUGGCUCUGACCCAAGAUCCCGGCGUAUUUAUUAUUUCGCAAAAUGAUAUUAUUGUUGAAAACAAAUACAAAUAUAAAUUAAAAAUGAAUGACAAGGAAGAGAAAAGUGCAAAAACUAUUUUUCUUUAUAAAGAGCUAAUGUAUGGGUUAUGUGUUAUUACAUAAUCCGUACACGAUAUUUGAUAUGUACGAUCUCCUGACAAUAGUUUCUAUUAUUUGCUUAGCUGUAAGCACAAGGUUUACAAAUACGAAAUAUGCAUAUACAUUACUCUACCAAAAAAUAACGAGAGCCUCGGUUACUGCCUACUCCAUGCAUUGUAACGUAUUAAACAUAUGGUAUGAUUCGGUGAAAUUCAAAACUAUAAAAUAAAAUACUAGUAAGCAAAAAGCAAAGUGCAGAAAAUUUGGAGUAAAAAACUAUAAUAUAGGUAGCCGGAAUGGACAUGCAGAUUCUCUAAACUCAUAAUUUAUAAAUUUCCCCAAACUUUGAAGACAAUUCGUUGUCUAAAAAGUUGUGUUUUUUUUUAAUUCCGAGAAUAGUUCGAUUUUGUCAGAACAGACCGGCAAAGCGAUGUUUUACUGCAAACGAAGGGAAACUUCUGUCAUUUUUUUUAGAAUUGUCUAAUCGUAAAAACAGGAUUUUGAAACGAAAAAGAAUGUUCACUUCGAGAUCUCCCCUUUCUUCGUCCUUACAUGGUUUUCAUGAUAACAUUAUACACUAAACACGGUAUGAUAAGGAGUGGUUACAAUAAGGCUGAACUAGUUCUAGACCAUAUUGCAUAAUGACGCUGACACGCGCUCUCUGGAUUUUGUUAGUAUGUUAUCACGGAGCUGUGCUUUAUGUGAGCAACUUUUUACAUUUCGACAAUGUGGUCCAUCGAACGUAAAAUAACGCAUACAAAAUGCUUCAUUGAUGAAAACAUAUUUCCUCAUUACUCUUAAUUUUCUCUUUCAAAAUGUUAAAAAAAACAUUCUUCCUCGUUUUCCUCAUUAAGACUGACGCAGCAGCGACAAAUAAAGGGUGCAACUCGGCAACGGAAUGUCUAGACAAUGAGUGCUGUGUUUCCAUUUACCAACCCCUUGGGAGAAGGCAGCUUCACGGCCAUUACAGCGGGCACUGUGUACCCAUGGGUAUGGACGGGGAUGGUUGUCUAGUAAAAACCAGAAAUGCCACUACCCGCCCCCUUGACGUGGUGUUAUCCUGCCCCUGUACCCCCGGGCUCUACUGCCACGGUGAUCAUCUUUACGUCGUUCCUCUGGGAGAGCAAGGUCACUGUACCAGUCCUUGAUGGAAUUUGUCAGCUUGUAUACUACAAUAUAUUUCAAAAUUCUAAGACGUAUUUAAAAAAUCUUUCUUCAUGUUUACUAAUUUAAUUCAAUAGCUCAUGCAUGCUUUUGCAGAAAAUAAUAAAAAGCAAAGCAG
rnacentral:misc_RNA from 1 species